rnacentral:tRNA from 1 species
GGAGAGGUGGCCGAGUGGCUGAAGGCGGCAGGUUGCUAACCUGUUAUAGGGAUUUAAACCCCUAUCGAGGGUUCGAAUCCCUCCCUCUCCG